GUAACAGGGGUAGCUUGCUACCCGCUGACGAGCGGCGGACGGGUGAGUAAUGCAUGGGUAUCUGCCCGGUAGUGGGGGAUAACUCGGGGAAACCCGAGCUAAUACCGCAUACGUCCUACGGGAGAAAGCAGGGGAUCUUCGGACCUUGCGCUAUCGGAUGAGCCCAUGUCGGAUUAGCUUGUUGGUGAGGUAACGGCUCACCAAGGCGACGAUCCGUAGCUGGUCUGAGAGGAUGAUCAGCCACACCGGGACUGAGACACGGCCCGGACUCCUACGGGAGGCAGCAGUGGGGAAUAUUGGACAAUGGGGGAAACCCUGAUCCAGCCAUGCCGCGUGUGUGAAGAAGGCCUUCGGGUUGUAAAGCACUUUCAGUGGGGAAGAAGGCAUGAUGAUUAAUACUCGUCAUGAAGGACAUCACCCACAGAAGAAGCACCGGCUAACUCCGUGCCAGCAGCCGCGGUAAUACGGAGGGUGCAAGCGUUAAUCGGAAUUACUGGGCGUAAAGGGCGCGUAGGCGGCUUGCCAAGCCGGAUGUGAAAGCCCCGGGCUCAACCCGGGAACGGCAUUCGGAACUGGUAGGCUAGAGUGCAGGAGAGGAAGGUGGAAUUCCCGGUGUAGCGGUGAAAUGCGUAGAGAUCGGGAGGAAUACCAGUGGCGAAGGCGGCCUUCUGGACUGACACUGACGCUGAGGCGCGAAAGCGUGGGUAGCAAACAGGAUUAGAUACCC
rnacentral:rRNA from 1 species